rnacentral:snoRNA from 1 species
UUACCAAAAGUUAAUUUUUGAGGAAAAAGGAUUUUUUAAAAAAAUAACCUUUACCAACUUGGGCUAUCUGGGAGAAUAAAGAAAAGACCAUACUCCACAGUGGGUUAUACCACUUAGUAUAGUUUAUGUCUAUUUUUUGGCCUAUAUU